rnacentral:rRNA from 1 species
GCUUACGGCCACACCGCCUGGUUCACGCCCGAUCUCGUUUGAUCUCGGAAGCAAAGAUAGGGUGGGCCUGGUUAGUACUUGGAUGGGAGACCGCCUGGGAAUACCAGGUGUUGUAAGAU